rnacentral:rRNA from 1 species
GCAAGUCGAACGAUGAAGCCUAGCUUGCUAAAGAUAGUAAAGUGGCGCACGGGUGAGUAACGCGUGGGUAAUCUACCUCUGAAUUGGGGAUAACAUUGCGAAAGCGAUGCUAAUACCGGAUAAUAUCUCUUAAGCUUCGGUUUUUGAGAUCAAAGGUGGCCUCUACAUGUAAGCUACUGUUUGGAGAUGAGCCCGCGUACCAUUAGCUUGUUGGUAGGGUAAUGGCCUACCAAGGCCGCGAUGGUUAGCUGGUCUGAGAGGAUGAUC